AUGGCAAGUGUAACAUUCAUACAACACUUGAACUUUUCUCAAGCACAAUUGAACAGAAACCGUGACUGCAGUCAAGUCUUCUUGGCAUCCAUUGUCGAUUUUGGAAUUUUGAACAAGAUCUUAGUUUUACCACUUAGGGUAAGCUACAAAGGAUUAGCGGAAAGUUGUGUUGUAGGAUUAGCUAUUCAUAUAAAGGAAAUUUCAGCAUCAGUUCCUACUAAAUGCAAUGAAAUUAUUCACCUACCAAAAUUAAACUUGCAAAAGCGAGAUUUUAAUUACAUUCAGGAUGUAAGCCGGUCAUUGUGGAUAUUGUUAGUACUAUGUGAUGAGUCGUGCGUUGUGCAAUUAAGAUUUUAUACUGGAAAUAAGGAAUAUUGUGUGGUAUGCAAGAACUUAGUUGUUUUUCCUGCCUUAAAUCAUGUGAAUCCUCUUUUUUGUUUGAAAGAAGGAUCGUCUGUAUUCGUGAAGGUGGAACGAGUGACGCAUGGACACUAG
rnacentral:rRNA from 1 species